rnacentral:ncRNA from 1 species
UGUUUAAUUAAAACAAAGCAUUGUGAUGGUCCCUGCGGAUGCUGACUCAAUGUGAUUUAUGCCCAGUGCUUUGCAUGUCAAAGUGAAGAAAUCAACCAAGCACGGGUAAACAAUGGGAGUAACUAUUACUCUCUUAAGGUAGUAAAAUGUAUUGUCAUCUAAUUAGUGACGUGCAUGAAUGGAUUAACAAGAUUCCCACUGUCCCUAGCUACUAUCUAGAGAAACCACAGCUAAGGAAAUAGGAUUGGAAGAAUUACCAGGGAAAGAAGACCUUGUUGAGCUUGACUCUCGUCCGACUUUAUGAAAUGACUUGAGAGGUGUAGAAUAAGUGGGAGUCGUUUUCAACGCAAGUGAAAUACGACCACUAAUUUUAAUGUUAUUUUACUCAUUCCAUGGGGCAGAGACAGGGCAUUACGCAUAUGUUAAUAUAUAACGCACAUUUCCUCAAAGUAUUGUCAUUGAUGGAAAUGGUCGAGAGCUCAUUCUUCAUGCACUUGAUGGCAAUGAAUUUAAGAAACCAAAUAGAAUCAUUGCUUUUAAGGACUUACAAAGUUACUACAAAGAGGAUCAUUCAACACCUAAGGGCAUUCAACAAUUCAUGGAGUCCCUUUGUUUAUAUACGCCUUGGU